GAUGAACGCUGGCGGCGUGCCUAAUACAUGCAAGUCGAGCGAACGGACGAGAAGCUUGCUUCUCUGAUGUUAGCGGCGGACGGGUGAGUAACACGUGGAUAACCUACCUAUAAGACUGGGAUAACUUCGGGAAACCGGAGCUAAUACCGGAUAAUAUUUUGAACCGCAUGGUUCAAAAGUGAAAGACGGUCUUGCUGUCACUUAUAGAUGGAUCCGCGCUGCAUUAGCUAGUUGGUAAGGUAACGGCUUACCAAGGCAACGAUGCAUAGCCGACCUGAGAGGGUGAUCGGCCACACUGGAACUGAGACACGGUCCAGACUCCUACGGGAGGCAGCUGUAGGGAAUCUUCCGCAAUGGGCGAAAGCCUGACGGAGCAACGCCGCGUGAGUGAUGAAGGUCUUCGGAUCGUAAAACUCUGUUAUUAGGGAAGAACAUAUGUGUAAGUAACUGUGCACAUCUUGACGGUACCUAAUCAGAAAGCCACGGCUAACUACGUGCCAGCAGCCGCGGUAAUACGUAGGUGGCAAGCGUUAUCCGGAAUUAUUGGGCGUAAAGCGCGCGUAGGCGGUUUUUUAAGUCUGAUGUGAAAGCCCACGGCUCAACCGUGGAGGGUCAUUGGAAACUGGAAAACUUGAGUGCAGAAGAGGAAAGUGGAAUUCCAUGUGUAGCGGUGAAAUGCGCAGAGAUAUGGAGGAACACCAGUGGCGAAGGCGACUUUCUGGUCUGUAACUGACGCUGAUGUGCGAAAGCGUGGGGAUCAAACAGGAUUAGAUACCCUGGUAGUCCACGCCGUAAACGAUGAGUGCUAAGUGUUAGGGGGUUUCCGCCCCUUAGUGCUGCAGCUAACGCAUUAAGCACUCCGCCUGGGGAGUACGACCGCAAGGUUGAAACUCAAAGGAAUUGACGGGGACCCGCACAAGCGGUGGAGCAUGUGGUUUAAUUCGAAGCAACGCGAAGAACCUUACCAAAUCUUGACAUCCUUUGACAACUCUAGAGAUAGAGCCUUCCCCUUCGGGGGACAAAGUGACAGGUGGUGCAUGGUUGUCGUCAGCUCGUGUCGUGAGAUGUUGGGUUAAGUCCCGCAACGAGCGCUACCCUUAAGCUUAGUUGCCAUCAUUAAGUUGGGCACUCUAAGUUGACUGCCGGUGACAAACCGGAGGAAGGUGGGGAUGACGUCAAAUCAUCAUGCCCCUUAUGAUUUGGGCUACACACGUGCUACAAUGGACAAUACAAAGGGCAGCGAAACCGCGAGGUCAAGCAAAUCCCAUAAAGUUGUUCUCAGUUCGGAUUGUAGUCUGCAACUCGACUACAUGAAGCUGGAAUCGCUAGUAAUCGUAGAUCAGCAUGCUACGGUGAAUACGUUCCCGGGUCU
rnacentral:rRNA from 1 species